GCUGCCAUCUUACCUGGUGGUAUUGGGUCAAACUGAAUUCUAAUACUGCCUGGUAAUGAUGGU
ncrna:Petromyzon marinus (sea lamprey) microRNA pma-mir-200b precursor